UCCUAGCGGAAAACUCUUGUAAGCUCUAAAUUUAAACAGUGGCGCGUGUCAAGUGGUGAGAUACCCAAAAAUGCAUUUAUCGUGUUUUUUUUAUGUUUUUAGUUACUUGUGUUUAAAAAUUUAUAUCAUUUUUAAAACUUGUAUUUACAGUCAUUAUAAAUCCACCGACACAACAAGGAAUUAUUAUAACUGUGACAAAUUUUAUUUAAAUAAAUAAAUGCAGUUAUUUGUUGUUUUUGUGAUGCUGAGACGUGCUUCAUGUGCUGUUAUUCGUUUUUUUGCACUAUAUCAAAAUCAAACAAGAAAAAGGAGAUUCUUAUAAUUACUGAAAAAUGAAAAGUAGUAAAGACGACGUAGAAAAGUACACAAAUGUUACAGCACAUGCAGAUUCUAAGUUAAUAUUCAAAAAUUUACAAAAUCAAUUGGAAUUUGUUAAAUUACCUGACAAGAGGUGGUGUUAUACAAAAGGAAAUGAAACCUUUUUUGGUUUUCAAAGAGUUGAAGAGAAUUACAAAGUUUUAAAAAGAGUGGCAGUAUUUAAUAAUAUGGAAAUAAGAAUUUAUUUUAACAACAAAGUGAUGCCUUUUUCGCCAUACAUAAAAGUAACUAAUGUCGAAGAAUUUAAUAAUCUUUUAAAAACUAUUAACGAGGUUAAUGUGAAUGCAGUAGAAAUGACAAAUGUAAUUUAAAAGAAAAGAACUUCUGAUACGAGCGCCUAAAAUUUACAAACUUUAUACAAUUAUGGUAAUCAACUUGUGAAUUAUAUUUUUGUUUUAUUUAGAUUUUAUUUUAUAUAUUUUAAAAUUUGCAAUAUUAUUUUAUUUUUAAUUUAUACAUGAAAUUUUUAAGUAUAAAAUAGAAAUUUUUAUAGUCUCAAUAUUUUAAUAUUGGAGGAUUUUUAAUUAUUUUAUUGUUAUUGUAUUAAAUAUGUAAUGAAAUGGAAAUUAAUUUUUGAUUUAUACAAGGAAUUUUUUCAUAGUUUUCUAUUUUUGACAUUUAAUAUAUAUUUUUUAAUGCGUUUUAGCUAUUUAGAUGAAUGAAUUUGUAUAUAUUUAUAUUUAUUAAAAAUUGUAUAGAUUAUAAUAAAUAAGAAAUUAAGUGAUUUAUAAAAUGUAGUACAAAAGGUGUCAAUAAAAAUGUAUUUUUUAUUGUA